UAUUUGAAUUUUAGAAAAAAAUAGAUAUAUUUGAAAAAAAGUAAAAAGAAUAUAUAAAACGAGAAUGAGGGAGCAGGUGUCCAUUUAUGACAUCAGAUAUAUUUGAAAUAAAGGAAAAUUAAAAAAGAAAACAAGAAUGCGUGUGAAGUGAGGCGAAAGCAGGUAUUGUGUCAAUUUAUGACAUCAUCGAUCGAUACAUUUGAAAAAAAAAAAAAGAUAAUAAAAAAGAAAACGAGAAAGCGUGAGAAGAAAGCAGUUGUCCAUUUUUGGCUCCAACAUAAAUACUCCAAUAUCAAGACGCUCCGACGAACCAACCUAUAUACACACGGAAUAAAGUUAGCGUUUCUCGUUCUUGUUGUUGAGGUCGAGGCUGCGAUUCAAACAAGGGGUUGAGGGUUAGGGUUUUCUCUUCCAGUAUUAGGGCUCGAUCAGACUAAUUUCUCGAGGGUACGAUUCGGGUCUCGAGUCUCCGAUUCAAUCAAGGGCUUGAGGGUUAGGGUUUAAUCGUCCACUAUGCGUUCUUGAAGGCUCUAUCAGACUUGGUUUUUGAGGCUGCGAUUCAAACAAAAGUCACGAGGGUUAGGUUUAGUUUCAGAGGGUGGUUUUGAGUGUUCAAUUCAAACUAGGGUCUCGAGGGUUAGUGUUAGAUUCUGGUCUCGAGGUUUCGACUGAAACAAGGGCCUUGAGGGUUGGGGCUCCAUCCAGAUGAUAGUAUUGUGGGGCUCUAUCCAGUGAUGGUCUUGUGGGGUUCCAUCUAUACGACGAUCUUGAGGAUUCUGCAGACAUUUUUUGGUCUCCUUUGAAAGAUGCUUGGUGUUGUAUCGGAUUUUGGAAGUCUUCAAAUCUUUUACUUGUGUUGGGUGAGAGUUUUGCUGUCUGUUGUUUUCACCUACUGCUUCCUGAUUUCAAUGCCUUUGGAGUACAGUUAGCAUGCUGUCAAUUACAAUGUUUAUGAGAUAGCAAGGAUGGAAUGGAAGCAAAUGUUUGCGCUUGUUCUUUGGUGUCUCCCUGGCAUCGGUGUUCAAGCCGACACAGAUCUGUUUCAAGCAUUUCUAUCUUCGAGUAUUCGAGCCCACACCAAACAGUAUCAAUAGCAUUGUGCAUGGUGGGUGGUCCACAAGUUAUCACACGGUGGGUGGUAAAUUUGUGCGCGAUGGUUGGGGCUCAAUCCAGAUGAUGGUCUUGUGGGGCUUGAUCCAGCGAUCUAGAUGAUAGUCUUGAGGGUUCUGCGCACUUUUUUUGGGUUAAAAUUCAUAAAUCAACUAUAUUUAACUGAUUUAUUUACCAUCUAUUAGUCUUGCCUCAUUUUCAGUUUCAGUGAUUAAUAGUUGUUUAAGGGGGUAGGUUAUGUUUUUUAUAUAAUUUUUCACUGACUUAAUUUUAAAAGAUGAUUGGAAGUGUUUUGAUAAAGCUUUACUUUUUGUAUUAAGGACUAUAUAUGGAAGGAUAGAAAUUGAUUGAUUAUGAAGAUAUUUUACAUCAAUAUGUUAUAUUAAAAUUUUUA